rnacentral:lncRNA from 1 species
AUGGCUAUUAACUCUUGCUUUUCUUAAUAAAAUAAAUCCCCAAGAGACCUUCACUCCCUUUAAUCUUCAAAAUUAUAACUUUUCUUGAACUCAUUAGUGAACUGACUUUGUAAAACGAACACACAUGAGUGGAAUUCUAGUGAUAACUCCUCUGAAGAGUAUUUUACCUUUGGAAGAAGUUAGAAACAAGUAAGAAGCAGGUAACAAGAAACUGUUUUAAUGCAUUUCCUGAAGACUCCAAAUGUGGACGACCAUGAUAGUGGAGGAAGAAUAUCCAGUCUUCUCAUUGCCAAUCCUAAGGAGUUCCACUCAGCUGUAAGGCACCAAAUCAAAUAGUGAUGUUUUAGAGACAGGCACUCUCAGCCACUUCAGAGGCCUGCAUCUUCCUUGGUCGCUAACUCUGACAAUAUCAGAUCCUUCAGAAGAUAUCCAUGAUUGUCUAUAAAGGACUUUUUUUUUGAGGCCCUAAGAAGAUAGACAUCAUCAUCAUAAUUCAUUUAGCAAAUAUUGAGUAUUUCUUAUCACCAGGCUAUAUUACUUCUAGUAAUGUAGCAGUGAACAAGACAGAAAAC